CAACAGCUCAAAUUUGAAAUCUGGCCUUCGGGUCCGAGUUGUAAUUUGCAGAGGAUGCUUUUGGCGCGGUGCCUUCCGAGUUCCCUGGAACGGGACGCCUUAGAGGGUGAGAGCCCCGUACGGUUGGACACCAAGCCUCUGUAAAGCUCCUUCGACGAGUCGAGUAGUUUGGGAAUGCUGCUCUAAAUGGGAGGUAAAUUUCUUCUAAAGCUAAAUAUUGGCCAGAGACCGAUAGCGCACAAGUAGAGUGAUCGAAAGAUGAAAAGCACUUUGAAAAGAGGGUUAAACAGCACGUGAAAUUGUUGAAAGGGAAGCGUUUGCGACCAGACCUUCUCCUGGCGGAUCAUCCGGUGGUUUCCACCGGUGCACUUCGCCAGGUCGAGGCCAGCAUCGGUCUUUGUAGGGGGAUAAAAGCUCAGGGAACGUAGCUCCUCCGGGAGUGUUAUAGCCCUCCGCAUAAUACCCUUACGGGGACCGAGGACCGCGCCUUCGGGCAAGGAUGCUGGCGUAAUGGUUGUCAACGACCCGUCUUGAAACACGGACCAAGGAGUCGAACAUUUGUGCGAGUGUUUGGGUGUUAAACCCUCACGCGUAAUGAAAGUGAACGGAGGUGAGAGCCCUUACGGGUGCAUCAUCGACCGAUCCUGAUGUCUUCGGAUGGAUUUGAGUAAGAGCAUAACUGUUCGGACCCGAAAGAUGGUGAACUAUGCGUGGAUAGGGUGAAGCCAGAGGAAACUCUGGUGGAGGCUCGCAGCGGUUCUGACGUGCAAAUCGAUCGUCA
rnacentral:rRNA from 1 species